AAAGUAGAUGAUGCAGACACAUCCCACAAAAGAGAUAUGCAUUAACGAUGGGGGGGGGGGGGGGGGGGGGGCAAAGGAUGACCCUAGGGUUAGUAAUAGUGGAUGAGUAGUCCCUUUUGUCAUCUUUGGUGGAUUAGUGGGACAUGUCCCAAUGCUGAAACCAUGCCAUCGACCACAAAUUUUCUUCCUUCAUAUCUUCAAAUUCUUCCACUAUAUAUAUAUAUACCACAUACGCACAACAGGUUUAAAACAAGUCCUGAAAAUAACUUCACACAAAUUAACAAAAGCAAAUGGCAGCUAAUGUAUUCUCAGUUAGAGGUUCUAAGGUUCGGUCAUGGGAGAGGUGUUCCAAACAAGUUCGGCAGCAGAGGACAAGGCUUUACAUAAUUUGGAGAUGCACUGUGUUACUCUUGUGCUGGCACGAGUAAAGAAAGUAUCAUCAAUCAGAGCUUGGUCCAGUAGUUGAAGAAAUGGCUUGACCUAUGUUCAAGCAGAAUUUGGGGUUCGUUUUUGCUGAAAACCAUACUGAGAGAAGUGAGACUUUGUAUUGUACCCUCAGGAAACUUUUGGGGUGUCUGUACUAUAAAAGAGUCAAAAGAGACAUAGUUUAUGUUAGGGGGUAGGGUAGGUAGGUAAUUAAAGGGGCUAUAUGAAGCAGGUGUUCCUGCUGAACAUGUAUAUUAACACAAACUAGCCUUUUUUAUAUAUAAUUCAAGUUGAAGAUACAACUGAGCCUCAUGUCUAAUUUCUUUUUGAUAUCACACACACACACAAUGACACACAAACACGACCUUAAUUUGCCUUUUAGUUUUAUCGCUUUUGUGCCAGAUGAUAGGGCGAAAGCAUCAUAUGUCCCAGGCUUAAUUACAAUCCCUUUAAUGUCACUUUGAAACUUGUGGACUUAUUCAGUGAAGUUUCUUGCUGAAAUAAAUAAUAAAUCAAUCCAUAAACCAGUUGUCUAUUAUUAUGUGCAACUGUUUGGAAGUCAAUGAAUUGGCAAUAGUUCCUUACCAACCCAUGACUAGGGAUCGCGUACCACUUACGAUUCACUAUAUAGGCCAAAAUGCGAAUGCUCAAAGACUUCAAAGUUCUCUAAUGAGUCUUCAAGUGGGAUGCAAAAAGUAAGUUGUUACCUGCAAAGAUUUCAAUGCUCAAGUCACUGAGGGUGAAAUUAAAGUUGAUUUGGUGGUUGAAGAAAAAAGGAUCUCAUUUACAAAACUAACAGCUAACAUUUUCCGAUUUAAAAAAAAAAGUGAGAGUGAAAGUCUAAGAGGUAGUAAGGGUUCAAAUAAUAUCUCGUAUGUGUUGUUAGGUCACUUUUAUUGGUCUUUUUCCUUAUGUUGAUAAUAUAAUAGUUACUGUCUGUUAGAAAAUUUACCCUUAAGUGAGAAGGCAGAAGGGUUUGAGUUAUUCCUAGGUUGUUUGAGGGCAGUUCACCUUGUGUUGCUUGGUUUCUGGUCUCAGGCGACUUGAACUUAUUGAGUCAAGUUGGAUGUGUACUGGGUCAGGUUUGGAACACCAACAUUAAUCCAAUGACCCUAAAAGUCAAAUAUAAUGGAUUAAUUUGCAAUUGCAUUUUACCUUCAGUUUUGAUAUUCAAAUUUAUUUUGUAAAGUGAAAAGUGUUACUGAACUUACUAGGAAGGAAGAAAGCUAAUAAACAUAAGUUUUAACCCGAUUAAAUCUGUUUGGAUAAAUUUUUCAAUAAAUAUUUAUAAGAGAAUAAAAUAAAAUAAAUAUUUUUUCUUAUAAAUUAAAAUCAACUUAACCACAAAUUAAUUUAUAGAAAUUCACUAAAGCCGGCCAGUGAUGAAAAUUUGGAUAGUUUACACAAAGUCAUAUAUUCAAAUUAAAUCUUAUUGCCACCGUUUGUGCACUAAAAGAACUAACAUAUAUAAAGUUUUAUUUAGCUUUUCUAAAAAUUAAUUUUAAUUUAUAUAAGUUAAACUUAACUUAUUAAAAAAAUUAAUUUGUUUUAUUUUCUUAAUUUGGUUUCUGAUAAAUCAUUAUUAAGAUGUUUAUAUAAAUAAGACCUAAAAACUAACCAUCCCUUUUUCUAGCGUAGGGAGGGAUGGGGAAGUUAAAAAUCUAGAACUGUUGAAAGCAUGAUCAUAAGGAUUUUCCGUCAUUUUUCACGAGCAGCCAAUGUAACUUUAAAAGCUUUGUAACGAAAUAUGUACCAAAUUACUUGGUGUUGCAAUGGAAUAUGAUUGCAUCCAAAACAUAAGUAGCAAAUAGCCGAAUAGUAGAAGGCAUGAAAAACACGAAUGUCUAUAAAAAGAAAACCUGCAAUUUGGUCACACACAAACCGGUAGUGGAACAGAACAACCUAUUCCACACACAAAAUUACCUGACCUGCAACAAUCUGUAAUUCUCUUCUGUCUUUUUCUUAUGUUAUUUCACAACACAAUCAAAUGGAUAUGAGUACUUACUUUGUCAGAGUUUGCAACUAAAUUCCACUCCAUGUUUGUCAAAGAUUGGCCUGAUUACAAUUUUGUUC
rnacentral:lncRNA from 1 species